CAGGAUAUAGCUUAGAUAGAAAAGCACUUCCCUUACACCGAGGAGACAUCCGUGCAAAUCGGAUUAUUCUGAC
rnacentral:tRNA from 1 species